rnacentral:rRNA from 1 species
AUGAGGCCGUUCUACACGAUGCUCCUAGCCCUCGCCCUUGUGGUGCUAUGUUCAGAUGUGGCGACGAAGGUGGUGACUGCGAACGGCGAUGGCGCCACUGCGACGGUGCCCAUGGACUGCAAGGUGCUCCCGACCAUCCCGGGAAUAUGCACUCCCAAGAAGUGCAUGGAGGACUGCCAGGGCGGCAUCGGCCGUUCCUCGGUGGGCGAGUGCGUCUCCGACGGAUGCCAGUGCACGUACUGCACUAUCCCGCCUAGGGGUCGCCGGAACUGA